rnacentral:rRNA from 1 species
UCGAGAAUUUUUCACAAUGGGCGCAAGCCUGAUGGAGCGACGCCGCGUGGGGGAUGAAGGGUUUCGAUCCGUAAACCCCUGUCAUUUGCGAACAAACCUUGAUUGUGAAUAGCGAUCGAGCUGAUUGUAGCGGAAGAGGAAGGGACGGCUAACUCUGUGCCAGCAGCCGCGGUAAUACAGAGGUCCCAAGCGUUGUUCGGAUUCACUGGGCGUAAAGGGUGCGGAGGUGGUCGGUGAAGUUCGGUGUGGAAGAUCGGGGCUCAACUCCGAAACGGCAUUGAAAACUCAUCGGCUGGAGGGUCGGAGGGGGGACUGGAAUUCUCGGUGUAGCAGUGAAAUGCGUAGAUAUCGAGAGGAACACCAGUGGCGAAGGCGAGUCUCUGGACGACUCCUGACACUGAGGCACGAAAGCCAGGGGAGCAAACAG